rnacentral:SRP_RNA from 1 species
UCGGACAGCCGGGGUGCUAGCGGUACCCUGUACCAGCAAUCCGCUAUAGCUGGGGUGAUAUCCUGCCUCGGGUCUUUGGUUUUAAAGCAGCCCCUGGUAAGUGGCGUUGACGUUUGGGUCUUACGCAACAGGAACCCGUGAACCGUGUCAGGUCAGGAAUGGAGCAGCACUAAGCGGGAACUCUUGUGUGCCGUGAGGGUGCCUGAACCGAGUUAACUGCCAGGGUAACGUUUAGGAUCGGGAUUCAAAGCAGGAUGUCCAU